GAAGGAGUGGUAAGGGCUAGGCAGGGGGUUCAGUCACAGAAUCACACAGCUAGUGUCAGGUCACAUUUGAACCCAAGACCUGUCUCCACAGAGUCACCAGCUGUCCCUCUGGGGAGCUGGGCAUUUUUCAGCAGGGCCACCCCAUUUUCCAACCUAUCCCGGGCCAUCUUUGAAGCCUGCCCCAUUGAAAGGUUCAGGAAGCAGCAGCAGAGGGAGCUGGCCAUCCCACUCCCACCCCCACCCAAUAUAGAAUUCAAAGAGCAGUGGGUGGCCCAGGGCUGCAGGGAACCCCCUCCUCCCCUCAGGCCUCAGGGCAAAGCUGGGAGCUCCAGCUUCCUCCACUCUCCCAGGAUCUCAGCCCCUCCUCCCUGGGGUGGGCAGGAGCAGGGAGGCAGGCCAGAGGCCCCUCCCAGGGUCCCAAGUUCAGCUCCCCCUCCCUUCCUGUCCACACACACACCCUGGGCAGCCAUGGAGUGGGACCUCUCUGCAGCUCUAGGUGCGGACCCCAAGAAGACCGCGAAGGGCGGCCCCCCCAAGCCUGCGGAUCCCGGAGCCAGCAAAGCCAGGGCCGCAUCCUCAGACUCCAGCAGCAGCAGCAGCAGCUGUGGCUCCUCCAACAACUCUGACGCGGAGGGGAAGGUGAGCUGGGUGUGGGGGCCUGAGAAGGGAGAAGGGGGCGCUACCGCGUGGCCAGGGGGCCCUUGGGGGCUGGGAGGGUCAAGCCACCAGAGCUGCCUCCCAGAGGCCCCUUUGUUUCUCCCUCCGUACUCUGACGCAGCCGCCUGGGCACCAGAAGGAGAAGAAGCUGCAGAAGAUGAAGAAGCCCAAGGAGAAGAAGAAGGAAAAAGUGAAGGAGAAGAAGGGGGAGAAGGAGAAGAAGGGGGAGAAGGGGCACCCCUGAGAGAGCAUUAAACAGCCCAUGGAGACGAGGCGUGGGGCGUGGUGGUGCCGCCGGUCAGCUGGGGAAGGGGAGGGGCAGCGCCAAGAAGAGGCGGGCGGCUCAGCCAGCAGCACCCCAGGGGGUUUAUUUCUCCCAGUAACAGACGCCCAUGGGCAGCCCCAGCUUGGAGCAUGCUGUGCAGUUACAGAUGUCU
rnacentral:lncRNA from 1 species